CACCUACAAAUUGAGUGUGAGGUAUCUCUAUUCAUAAACCUAUACUUUAAACAUCCUCUGGCCCUCGACCAUAGAGAAAUAUCCUCAGAAUCCUAUGUCCCAUCUACCUAUGGCACUCUUCUCUCUUGGCCAAAGCCUCUAAGCUUGAAUGUGCAGGGCAUGAGGGCAUCAGCAGAAAGGGUGGGUAGGGGCUGAAAUUCACCCUGUGCUCUGCUCACCAAUGUCCUCACAUGGGGCUGGCUCUCAUUCUACUCCCCCAAGCCUGUUGUGCUCAAUUCCCACCUUAAAUCUUAGAAGCAAUGCCACUUUCCUCAUUUUCUCACAAGGAACAGUCAAACAUGCUUUUUGUUUUGCUUUGGUUUGCCUGUUGCCUUUGUGUUAAUACCUACAUUCCCAAAAUAUUCAGCCCGACCACUUAGCCAAGUACCUUCUAAAGCAAAGGGCAUUGAGAAUAAGGAGUGAUAAGGAACACAGGUUUCCAAGACUUAAAGUAAACUGUGGAAAACAUCAACAUAAACCUUUUGCCUAGCUGCUCUUUUUAAUGAUGAUCUUACAGCAUUUAGCAGUGAGGCAGGGCCUAAUUCUGCCUACCUCAACCAACUUUACAUUUCUUAAUUCCUAGCAAUACAUGAUUUAAGAUUCUUAGAUACUAAAAUGAAUGUUCUAUCAAAAGCAACAUCCGUUCUGCAGGAAUAUUUUUCAUGUCUGAUCUGUAGAAUGUCUUCUAGUUUCAGCAGAAGUCCUUUAGUUGUGUCAUUAAUUCCAUAUCUUGCUAUCAAACACUAUCCUUUCUCUAUAGCUAUAACCCACCUUCUAUUUUCUCCAGAGUUGCCCUUUAAAACUUUCUUAGAAACUCAGACUUUAUCUUCAUUUUACAGUGAUUGCUAUCUUGUUUCAAAAAAAAAAAAAAAAAAAAGUCAGGAGGAAAAGCAAAUGACCAUGCUGAUGGAAUCUCACACAAAGAGAUUAAUUGCCACUGCUCUCGAAGGCUGGGGCGGAAUGAUGAGCAAUCCACAGAAUGCAAAGGAAAGCAGAGCGAGCGGUGUUUGCAGUGUGCACAUCCUGGGCAUUUGUAAAUAUCCUCAUGCUGGGGUGGUAAAUUGGGAACAGCCAUCUGGAGUUCAUGGCAACACCGGAUCCUUAACCCACCGAGUGAGGCCAGGGAUUGAACCCAAAACCUCAUGGUUCCUAGUUGGAUUCAUUUCCACUGCGCCACGAUGGGAACUCCCUCUUCUUCUUUUUUUUAAAUGGCUGCACUGGCAGUGUAUGGAAAUUCCUGGGCCAGGAAUUGAACCUGCGCCUCCACAAUAACCUGAGCCACUGCAGUCAGAUUCUUAACCCACUGCACCACAGCGGGAACCCCUCUUUUGGUUUUUAGCAGCAGCAAGCCAUGAAACAAUAAAUUCAACAAUAUCUUAAAAUUUGCACAAUACCAGAGAACAAAAUCCGCAGUGUGCUGUGAAUCAGUACCUGUUAAGUGGUGUAAUUUUAUGUAGCUAGCACAAGUACCCAGGUAGAAAUAUUGUCAUGUCUUAAAGUAUGAAUUCAGAGAAUGUAACAGCUGAAAUACAUUCCAGUUUCUUUAAUUUAAUAUUGGUAUUCCACUAUUUUAAAAAAUUUGGUUGUUAGGUCAAAAUGGAAUCCAUCAAGCCUUGAAGGGGCUGAUUCCUCAAGAAACCAGCUGAUUAUGGGAUGGAAUGAUGGUAAGUGGGGUCCAGUGUCUGGAAUUGGCGUGAAACUCUUCCUGUUCAGUAUCUGGUUCAUGCUCAUAUAAUCCAGAAUUUAUAACCACCCACCAGUACAGGAGCAGCCACAAACAGGAGCCUGGGGCCCCUAGCAGCCUCCCCCACUUUCUUCUCCAUCAUGGCGUGAGGAUGCAAGCCUCCCUCUGCACCAGCGAGAGAGGAUGAUGGCAACGAAAGUGCCUCUCUGUUUGCCCAGAUGAGUGAUGAGCACAGAGCACGAUGGCCAGUUGUCAAGCAGAGGGGCAUGGUGUCUGCACCCAGUGUUGCAGCCCGAUCUGAGAACUCUGAGCUCCCAGGACCAGGUGGAAGCAGAGCAGCACAAAGGUGAUGCUCAGAGAUGCCCUCCAGCUUCUACCCACAGACACAGCUGCCAUUAACCUGCAGCCGUGGCAGACAGCACUGAGCCCAGCCUCACAUUUAUUCCGUGGAACACUGUAAUACCUCUCUCUUCAAAAAUUAUUAUCAUGGGCAUUCCUAUUGUGGCUCAGGGGGCUAGGAACCCAACGUGGUCUCCAUGAGGAUGCGGGUUCUAUCCCUGGCCUCACUCAGUGGAAUAAAAAUGCAAAAAAAAAAUAUAUAUAUAUAUAUAUAUACAUAUAUAUUAUUUUGGAGUUCUUUUGUGGCUCAGCAGCUUAAGGAUCCAGCAUUGUCACUGCUGUGGCUCUGUUUAUAGCUGUAGCCUGGGUUCGAUACCCGCGCCAGGAACUUCUGCAUGCAGUAAGUGUGGCCAAAAAAAAAAAAAAAAAAAAAAAAAAGAGAAUCAUUAUCUUUAAAAUCUACUUUAAUUAGAGAAGGCACUAUACCUUCCUCUUUGAUGCUAUUUCAAAAUAAAUAAAAUAUUGACCGCACUAGCUUUCACAGAUGCUUCAAAAAUGGACUGUCGAGGGGUGCUAUCUCUUUUGUGUGCUUUACAAUUAUUGUUCCCCAGCU
rnacentral:lncRNA from 1 species